UACGUAGGUGGCAAGCGUUGUCCGGAUUUACUGGGCGUAAAGAGCGCGCAGGCGGUUGAUUAAGUCGAAUGUGAAAGCCCCCGGCUCAACUGGGGAGGGUCACGCGAUACUGAUCGACUCGAAGGCAGGAGAGGGUAGCGGAAUUCCCGGUGUAGUGGUGAAAUGCGUAGAUAUCGGGAAGAACACCAGUGGCGAAGGCGACUACCUGGCCUGUUCUUGACGCUGAGGCGCGAAAGCUAGGGGAGCAAACGGG
rnacentral:rRNA from 1 species